UGCGCGUGUGGCCCGCCCCCUCUUUAACCCUUGGCCUUCCGGAGCUGGUGGCGCAAGUGUGGCCCCAGGGGCCGCUCCCAGGACCCUUCCCACCAGUGGCCUGGCUCCCCUCGGCCCCGCGCAGCCAGACCGCGCCGCUCUGCGCCUUCAAAGGGCGUUUGCGGGUACCUGUGCCUGGUCUACGGGUGACCCAGCCUGGGGUCUUCGGGCUGUCCCAGGGUGGGGGCACCUUGUGUGCCGGAGUGAGCCAGUGCAUUGUGAUGUGUGUGCAGUGGGCUUGCAGAUGGCUGGUGCUGCGACCUGUGUGUCUUUAGUUUCCCUCCUUGGACUCCAGUUGGGUCAUUGUCCCAUUGCCACAGACAGGCUGUACCUUCUCCACGCUCUGGGGCCUGUCCGAGCUUUCCUGUCUUGCAACCCCAGACCCAUCACCUGCCCUCAACCUUCCAGGCGCCUGAAAGAUCCAGAAGCCAGUGGACCCCAGAUGGGCCAUAUUAAAGGACAUGUGUGUGACACGUGGAUGGGGCGUGCAUGCCUGGAGUCCCCUGCUUAACAGCUUGGAUUGAAGAGGCUUGUCUGGGGGGACUGAGACCUUGCAGAUCAUUCCAGGAGCCGCCUCCUUCCAAGGCCAACAGCUUCAUCAGGCUGCUGGCCUGGGAGAAGGUGGGACUGCAGUUGCCCAACAUCCUGCGGCUGCCCACACAGACACCCCGUGUGCACCCCAGGGCUGAGAGCAGAGGGAGCCAUCUCCCUGUGUGUAGGACACUGCCUGGUGGGUGUUCCCUUCCAGCCCCUCUAGAAUGCAUGCUUGAAUGGCCAGUGAGGCUGGGGGAGGGACCAAGGGGGACCCCUCACCCCCAGCAGCACAGAGCAGGAACUGGACAGUGGGGCUGGGGGUGAGGCCAGCUGGGAGGGGUCAGGUCCUGCCACGGGAGGGGGACUUUUAAAGUUCCUCCAUGGUCCCGGAACCCUGGAGCCUCAGGAGUGGCAGGGGAGCUUCUCCGGUGAGUGACAGCCUCUCUGGGGUCUCAGGGCUCCCUGCCUGGGGCCUUAGGAUUUCUGGGAGCUGCCUGCCCUGACAGCGUCCACCUCUCUGUCCCGACAGUGCCCGCGUCAUUUUCCUUCCCUGCCUGGCCCUCACCCUGCAGCCCCGGUUGUUGGAACACCCUCCCCUGGACCCUGGGC